UGCCUCCUUCUCGGUUGUAAGUCCAAGAAACCCAAGAUACAGGAAAGGAAAAGAUAUAGAAAGGAAUGUGACAAGGAGGUGCGGAUGGAUGUGUGAUGCCAGGACUAUGGAAGCCUUGGGACUAGGAAAGAAAUUUUAGUUUACUUUUUGUUGUAUUUUGAUAUGAUUAGGACGUAGUAGAAGAAUUGUAAUCUUGUGUGAUGAUUUCUUGUGUUGUUUUCUUUAUUUUGGAUUUAUUAUACUGCGUGGUUGAUUGAUA